rnacentral:rRNA from 1 species
CUACGGGAGGCAGCAGUGGGGAAUAUUGGACAAUGGGCGCAAGCCUGAUCCAGCAAUGCCGCGUGAGUGAAGAAGGCCUUAGGGUUGUAAAGCUCUUUCGGCGGGGACGAUGAUGACGGUACCCGCAGAAGAAGCCCCGGCUAACUCCGUGCCAGCAGCCGCGGUAAUACGGAGGGGGCUAGCGUUGUUCGGAAUUACUGGGCGUAAAGGGCGCGUAGGCGGCGCGAUAAGUUGGGCGUGAAAGGCCCGGGCUCAACCCGGGGACUGCGCUUGAUACUGUCGCGCUGUGAGUCCGGGAGAGGAUGGCGGAAUUCCCAGUGUAGAGGUGAAAUUCGUAGAUAUUGGGAAGAACACCGGUGGCGAAGGCGGCCAUCUGGACCGGCACUGACGCUGAGGCGCGAAAGCGUGGGGAGCAAACAGGAUUAGAUACCCCGUAGG